CAUAAUUUGCAGUGAUUGUGAUGUGAAAAAAGAUAAUGGUACUACUUGUCCCGCGCUAACAGGUGCAACAGGAGAGGGAGGGAGAUGUCAGUCAAGCAGGAAAGUCUGUACACACCCACACAGUCCUGAGAGGAGGCCUAGUCAGGCAAAUAAGUGAAAACGCCUGUGUGAGUUUACCAUGGGUGCGUUGGGUGCUCCAACUAUGAUUAGAACAAUACUAGUCGUAUCGGUAGUUAGUAAAACGGCGAACAAGAUGCUUUAUAAAACGCAGUUGCAAAUAAUUUUCCACCUUGAAAACAACACAACAAUGAGCCCACCAUGGCUUUGCAAACCAGCUUGGACAAACUGGCCAAAGAUGAAAGCAAUGCCUCCUGGUUACUGAAACAUGACAAAUCAGAGGGAGAGUAGAAGAAAAGCCAUUUAUCAAAAAGUUGGAGUUGACAACUGUUUUUUCUGCAGUGUCGCACGUAGGGAGACCAGAGGUGACGUACUGCUGCACCCGCUACCCACCACCACUCUCUGCCACGUUCCAACAAACACACACCUAUGCAGACUUGAGGCAUCUUCCCCUACAUAUGCAUUAACCCCAAGGUCAUGGAGCAGCCCUCCAGGAGUUAUAAGCAUUGAAUCUUAUAUCUUGUCUGUUUCUUGCACGUUUUGAUGAGGGGACAACAUGUCUAC